UGAAAAUCUUUUUUUUUGUAAGACUAAAAUCGAUGACUUGUUAUUUAUGUUCAUGAAUUAGAGGAAAUUUUGGGCAGCAGAGCAGAAAAUGUUUCUUCGAGGGUUUUUGGCAACAGCUGAUCAGCAUCGGAGAUCCUUUUUUUUUCCAAACGUAAAGCUUGAAACAUUUUAGGCUUCCACUGGUGUUCAGUUGGUCUGAAAACUGCCUCCAUUGGUUCUCCCAGGUGACCUGUCCUCCCUUCUGACCAUCACGGUAUGACGGACGUUUUGUUCCUGUCUGUGGAUCCGUUUGGACCCUCACAGAGGAAUCUGGAGGUGGGCGAUCCUGGACAUGUAGGUGCCAGCUCUGUCCAGCUCCAGAACCAAACAGCACCACAUUAUGUUCAAAGCUUGUUGCCUCCAACAUGCGAGAACAGACAUCUCACAUUCCUGAGCCCAUUUCACAAAGUACAAUAACUUCCUUGAAUUCUUCGACCCCGCAGACGGAGCCAGGGCACAUCCUGUUGUCCUCGCAGCACUUCCUGCACAUACGGCUCAAUCUUUCUUGCUUGUUGCCACGGCGACAGGAAAACACUGCAGUCAGGCUUCACAGGCACGCUAACAGGUAGCGCUGGAGCGCUCCCAUUGGCUGGUGUUUAGAUGUUUUUGGCAUGGGUUCGCAGUCUACCGUGUGAUCAUCCUGCAGCAUCUCACCUCCCUGCCAAUCGCUGCGCUCUUACCUGAGGCAGCACAGCGUGGGAAUCCAUGUGAGCUUAACUGCAGGAAAACGGCAAAACUUUAAGCUUCAGAGGUUCUCCAGAGGACAUCGGAGAACAAACAGACAUGGAUGUCCACCUAAACUGACAGACUGGGCAAAGAGAACAUUUAUCAGAGAUGCAGCUAAGAGGACCAUGGUAACUCUGGAGGAACAGCAGAGAUCAACAGCUCUGGUGGGAGACUUUAAGUCUAUUGAAGAUUUUUGGACAUCUGUGAUGAUCGGAGGUAGCUUCACCUGUAACUGAUUCAGUUUCAGUCUGGAUCUGAUCACGCUGGCAUGAGCCUCGUGCAUCACUUUAUGUCUGAGAGAACAACAGGAAGGUGGCCCUAAUGUGUCUGCAGCAGGUAUCUGUCAGACAGCCUUUUGUGAGGGAAAGAUAAGAAACAAAAGCUGUGAAGCUAUGGAAAACUAUUUUGAAAGCUUUCCAGCUUUCUUCUCCAGACUUUCCCUUCUUUAGAAACUGCGGUAAAGGGAGGGCAUGUUUGUGGGUUUGAGGUGGACGGUGGAAAAGGUGGGAGUCUCUCCUUUCAAAAGGUGGCCCAGAACAAAACAGGAAACCAUCCCUUGUUUUGGCUCUUGGUUGCUACAAGUGUUUGGAAUUUAGAGGAGGUGAAUUUACAUGUUCAUGUCGAAGCUCAGGUCAGAGCAUGCACACACAAACACAAACAUGUCCAUGCAUCUAUUCAGCCGGAGCGGCGGGAAUGUCUGGCAUGCUCCGAUAAGCAGAGACACGACGACUGUGAACUCCCCGUGUAUGUUAUGAAGAACGUCCGCAAAUAGACUAAAUACUCGCAGAGAUGCUGCUGUGACCUUGGCCCAAUCAGGACUCAUGUUGUAUGUGGGUCAGAGUGCUGCUGAUUCUCCUGUUUUUAUAAGUUUGGCUAAAAAGCUCAGAAAGCAUCUCGACCUUUUUUAUUCAGAGUAAACUUUAAAAAGGAGUUUAUCUGACAUGUCUUCUUCAUAAAGCUCCGUGUUUGGAAUAAAUAACAACUGAGCGAUGCCUUUAAUCAGAUGAGAACCCGGUUCUGAUGUUGUCAAACAAAUCCAGGCAGAGGGGAUUUUCUUCUACUUUGAUCUCAGCCCGGUUGGUCCCGAGUGCUGAUCCAGCACCCAGUUGGUGGCAUCCUCCUCUGCUGCUGAACACCUAUUCUUCUCCGCUGGCAGAGACCUUCCUGUUGUUUCAAACAAUCCAGAAACACCAAGGUCAAUGCUACAAAGGCAGCAGAAAAGCACUCAGUCCUUUUGGAGCUUUGUUUCAGAGUGAACUAUAAAUCACAGAUUUGUGUUUUCUGUGUUGGAGUGUUUGAGAAGACAACAUGAACCUCUGAUUCUGAUACUUGAGAUUAAAGUA